rnacentral:rRNA from 1 species
CGAAAGCCUGACGGAGCAAGACCGCGUGGGGGAGGAAGGUUCUUGGAUUGUCAACCCCUUUUCUCAGGGAAGAACAAAAUGACGGUACCUGAGGAAAAGCAUCGGCUAACUCCGUGCCAGCAGCCGCGGUAAUACGGGGGAUGCAAGCGUUAUCCGGAAUGAUUGGGCGUAAAGAGUCCGUAGGUAGUCAAUCAAGUCUGCUGUUAAAGAGCGAGGCUUAACUUCGUAAAGGCAGUGGAAACUGAUAGACUAGAGUGUAGUAGGGGCAGAGGGAAUUCCUGGUGUAGCGGUGAAAUGCGUAGAGAUCAGGAAGAACACCGGUGGCGAAGGCGCUCUGCUGGGCUAUAACUGACACUGAGGGACGAAAGCU